UGUAUCUUUCCAUGGUUUCGCAUUUUUUCUAGGUGGAAUCACCGCAUGCGCUUGCCGAUCUGCAAUG
rnacentral:rRNA from 1 species